rnacentral:snoRNA from 1 species
CCCCUCUCAGGAUCACAUCUGGAGAGUUUCCAGUACUCUACCAGUCUCGAUUACAAUGAGGAAGAGUCAAGCAGAGGCCUACCCAUUCCAUUCCUAGCUUGGGCAGUGGCUUGUGAGUGGAAGGCAAUCUGCUCCAAGU